rnacentral:tRNA from 1 species
GCGCCUGUAGCUCAGCUGGACUAGAGCGUCGGUCUCCGGAACCGAAGGUCGCAGGUUCGAACCCUGCCAGGCGUACCA